UACGUAGGUGGCAAGCGUUGCUCGGAAUCACUGGGCGUAAAGGGUGCGUAGGCGGGUCUUUAAGUCAGGGGUGAAAUCCUGGAGCUCAACUCCAGAACUGCCUUUGAUACUGAGGAUCUUGAGUUCGGGAGAGGUGAGUGGAACUGCGAGUGUAGAGGUGAAAUUCGUAGAUAUUAGCUAGAACACCAGUGGCGAAGGCGGCCAACUGGUCCGGUACUGACGCUGAGGUGCGAAAGUGUGGGGAGCAAACAGG
rnacentral:rRNA from 1 species